UCCCUGGUGGCUCAGAGGUUAAAGCGUCUGCCUCCAAUGCUGGAAACCUGGGUUUGAUUCCUGGGUCGGGAA
rfam:TPA: Bos taurus chromosome 5, whole genome shotgun sequence.